UACGGAGGAUCCAAGCGUUAUCCGGAAUUACUGGGUGUAAAGGGAGCGUAGACGGUAAUGUAAGUCUGGAGUGAAAGGCGGGGGCCCAACCCCCGGACUGCUCUGGAAACUAUGUUACUAGAGUGCAGGAGAGGUAAGCGGAAUUCCUAGUGUAGCGGUGAAAUGCGUAGAUAUUAGGAGGAACACCAGUGGCGAAGGCGGCUUACUGGACUGUAACUGACGUUGAGGCUCGAAAGCGUGGGGAGCAAACAGG
rnacentral:rRNA from 1 species